rnacentral:miRNA from 1 species
UUAGAUUGGUGCAAAAGUAAUUGUGGUUUUUGCCAUCAAAAGGUGAUGGCAAAAACCACAAUUACUUUUGCACCAACCUAAUA